UACGAAGGGGCUAGCGUUGCUCGGAAUCACUGGGCGUAAAGGGUGCGUAGGCGGGUCUUUAAGUCAGGGUGAAUCCUGGAGCUCAACUCCAGAACUGCCUUGAUACUGGCGAUCUCGAGUCCGGGAGAGGUGAGUGGAACUGCGAGUGUAGAGGUGAAAUUCGUAGAUAUUCGCAAGAACACCAGUGGCGAAGGCGGACUCACUGGCCCGGUACUGACGCUGAGGUGCGAAAGCGUGGGAGCAACAGGG
rnacentral:rRNA from 1 species